CCCUUAGAUGUCCGGGGCUGCACGCGCGCUACACUGAAUGAAUCAGCGUGCUAGAAAACCUUGUUUGACAUGGCUAGGUAACCCAUUGAAAAUCAUUCGUGAUUGGGAUCGGGACUUGCAAAUGUGUCCCUUGAACGAGGAAUUCCCAGUAAGUGCGGGUCAUCAGCUCGCGUUGAUUACGUCCCUGCCCUUUGUACACACCGCCCGUCGCUGCCCGGAACUGAGCCGUUUCGAGAAGACUGAGGGUUGCUGACUUGAGGCCUUCGCGGGCUUCUAGUCGGUGAAAAUCAAUUUAAUCGCAGCGGCUUGAACCGGGCAAAAGUCGUAACA
rnacentral:rRNA from 1 species